CUGGCGUCUUCGGCGUCCGCAUUGUAAUCUCAAGAAGUGUUUUCCGCUUCGGACCAUGCCUAAGUCCCUUGGAAAAGGGCAUCAUAGAGGGUGAUAAUCCCGUACAUGGCAUGGAGCGCCCGAAGCUUUGUGAUACGCUUUCUAAGAGUCGAGUUGUUUGGGAAUGCAGCUCAAAAUGGGUGGUAAAUGCCAUCUAAGGCUAAAUAUUGGGGAGAGACCGAUAGCGAACAAGUACAGUGAUGGAAAGAUGAAAAGAACUUUGAAAAGAGAGUUAAACAGUACGUGAAAUUGCCAAAAGGGAAGGGUAGGAGGUCAGAGAUGCGGCCUGGGAUUCAGCCUUGCUUUUGCUUGGUGUUUUUCCCAGAUUGCAGGCCAACGUCGGUUUUGGGCACUGGAGAAGGGUAGGAGGAACGUGGCACCUCUCGGGGUGUGUUAUAGCCUCCUACUGGAUACAGCGACCGAGACCGAGGACAGCAGCGUACUCGCAAGAGCGGGCCUUCGGGCACCUUUACGCUUAGGGCGUUGGCAUAAUGGCCCUCUACCACC
rnacentral:rRNA from 3 species